UACGUAGGGUGCUAGCGUUGUCCGGAUUUAUUGGGUUUAAAGGGUGCGUAGGCGGACUUAUAAGUCAGUGGUGAAAUCUCGUUGCUUAACAACGAACGUGCCAUUGAUACUGUAGGUCUUGAGUACAGAUGCCGUUGGCGGAAUGUGUCAUGUAGCGGUGAAAUGCAUAGAUAUGACACAGAACACCGAUUGCGAAGGCAGCUGACGAAACUGUAACUGACGCUGAGGCACGAAAGCGUGGGGAUCAAACAGG
rnacentral:rRNA from 1 species